GUUUCCCCCUUAAUUUAUUUUCAGGAAAUGUUUAUGCAAGUCAGAAGGGGAGGCAGAGAUUGCUUGGAGAAAAUCAAAUUGUGAGUCCAGCAUCACCAACCCCAGAUUCCAAGGGCAGAUCAAGCAUAUUUAGAAUAAACAAACCUAGGUCUCUCAGGCAAAGGGAGAAACGUCAGAAGCAGCCCAUCUCUCUGGACCCAUGACCCAUUUGCUUAGGUGGUUCCAUUAUCAUCAUUCUCAACUGGAAGUGAUAUUCCUGAUUGGAAUCUAGUGCUUUUGCUUCCAAUAUCAGUUAUGACUGAUGACCAGUGCUGCUCAAGGAAAUGAAGAACAUGUGGGGUCGAGCUGUUAAGGUCCGUUUUUCACUGAAAACCAGGGAAGAAAGAACCUUCUCCAGUUCUCUUUAUAACUGAUUUUGCAGUAUCAAACAUGAUUACCACCACCAUGGCUUUUGCAGACU